rnacentral:rRNA from 1 species
GUCCRRRRUKGAGGGCCUCUGGGUCCACCUCCCACCCGUGUUUAUUUUACCUUGUUGCUUCGGCGGGCCCGCCUUAACUGGCCGCCGGGGGGCUUACGCCCCCGGGCCCGCGCCCGCCGAAGACACCCUCGAACUCUGUCUGAAGAUUGUAGUCUGAGUGAAAAUAUAAAUUAUUUAAAACUUUCAACAACGGAUCUCUUGGUUCCGGCAUCGAUGAAGAACGCAGCGAAAUGCGAUACGUAAUGUGAAUUGCAAAUUCAGUGAAUCAUCGAGUCUUUGAACGCACAUUGCGCCCCCUGGUAUUCCGGGGGGCAUGCCUGUCCGAGCGUCAUUUCUGCCCUCAAGCACGGCUUGUGUGUUGGGCCCCGUCCUCCGAUCCCGGGGGACGGGCCCRAAAGGCAGCGGCGGCACCGCGUCCGGUCCUCGAGCGUAUGGGGCUUUGUCACCCGCUCUGUAGGCCCGGCCGGCGCUUGCCRAUCAACCCAAAUUUUUAUCCRGGUUGACCUCGGAUCAGGUAGGGAUACCCGCUGAACUUAAGCAUAUCAAUA